rnacentral:rRNA from 1 species
UACGUAGGGGGCAAGCGUUGUCCGGAUUCAUUGGGCGUAAAGAGCGUGUAGGCGGCCAGGUAGGUCGGUUGUGAAAACUGGAGGCUCAACCUUCAGAGGUCGACCGAAACCAUCUGGCUAGAGUCCGGGAGAGGAGAGUGGAAUUCCUGGUGUAGCGGUGAAAUGCGCAGAUAUCAGGAAGAACACCCGUGGCGAAAGCGGCUCUCUGGAACGGUACUGACGCUGAGACGCGAAAGCGUGGGGAGCAGACAGG